UACGUAGGGGGCAAGCGUUGUCCGGAUUUAUUGGGCGGAAAGGGCACGCAGGCGGUCCUGUGCGUUUCGAGUGACAGGUGGUGGCUUAACUGCCACAGGCCUCGGAAAACGGCAGGACUUGAGGACUUCAGAGGGACGCGGAAUUCCAGGUGGAGCGGUGAAAUGCGUAGAGAUCUGGAAGAACACCAAAGGCGAAGGCAGCGUUCUGGGAAGUAUCUGACGCUCAGGUGCGAAAGCCAGGGGAGCGAACGGG
rnacentral:rRNA from 1 species